rnacentral:lncRNA from 1 species
GACUUACUCUUUUGGAGUGAUACAUUGGACACAGACAGAACUAGAAAGAAAAACAUGAGCAACACUUACAAAAUACCAAUACCUCACUUGAAAUCUGCCAUAGAAAGAACUACUCUCCCACACAAGGAAGGAGGACAUGGCCUUCCUUGCGUGGACAUUCCACAUUUGCACGGUAUAGCCUGGGGGACUACAGUAGACCCUUCAACAGCAGGUUCUCCACUGGUUUCGGUAGGUCUAUAUCUCCAACUAUUACAGCAACGUCUUCUACAUUUAGCUUCGGUGUGUUUGGAUGAACAUGUUGUUUAAAGAGGAUCCAUUUGAGCUUUUUAAUAUAUCUACGGCCUACUGUAAUCCCCCAGGCUAUACUGUGCAUAUCUGACAUGGCACCACACGUUGACCAGCUACUGUCUGAACAUUCCACAUUUACACGACAGACAUAUUUAUUGUUUGAAAGAGUUCUUCCAUAAAAAACAACAUACAUCACAACUACACAAAGCUAUAGUCCUGGCAAAU